CUUUGUAACUAAUACAAGUCUCUCUGUGUAUUCAUUUGGGCCUAACUCGGGCAGGUGGCUGGCGUAAAGCUUGCACAUGGCGGUGGGGCUCAGGUGGCUUUUGGCAAAAAGAUUUAUCGUAACAAGGGUUGCUAAUCAAACUAAUCUGUCAGCAUAUUUUAAAGAAAACUAAAAUACUAUGUCUUUGUCUUCACCUGUGAUUAUAAUUAUUUUGCAAAAGUGCAAUUUUACAAUCACAUCUGAUUCAAACAUUUAAUUAUUCCUUUUUAUUAUUAAUAAUCUAUGAUAAAUUUCCUCAAGUUUCUGAGAAACUGGAUUAUCAAAAUGAUUUGUUUAGAUCAGAAUCCAUACUAGAUUGACAUGCUACAUUCACAUGAUUUGUCUCCUGUUGAUGAGUGGUUCAAGUCAAUGACAUAAAAGUCAUUUGUGAGAUAUUAGGGAAGAAAUGUGAUGUGCCUUUAACAAGCUUGGAGAACUAGCUUCUAUCUAGUUUUCUUUCUGUUUUGGUCAAACUAGCUGACUGAAGAAACAUUAGCAGGCAACUAGUGCAGUCAUACUGCACAUACUGGACUUCAUAAAAUCUGUGCCUUGACUCCCCAACGUCCCCAAAACUCAAUUAAUAGGCUGUUUGGAGUAUUUGCAUAGCACCCAAUUCUAGAUGUUCAUUCUUUAUGAUUGUAUUAACCAUGGUUCUUUUCAGCUCUUAUAAGUGUAUUUUAAUAUAUUCUAUUUUAUGAGCCUACAUAAGAAUUUUGUUUUGGUUUGAUUUUCGUUUUUCAAGACAGUGUUUCUCUGUAGCUUUGGAGCCUGUCCUGGAACUCAGUCUGUAGACCAGGGUGGCCUUGAACUCACAGAGAUCCACCUGUCUCAGCCUCCAAAGUGCUGAGGUUAAAGAUGUGCACCAACACUGUAUGGGAUUACAUAUGAAAUUUUUGUAAUUAAAUUGGUUUUUGAGAAUUUUAUACAUGAAUGUACUAACAUUUCCACCCCAACUUUCCCUUCCAGCUCCUCCCUUGUUCCUUCUUAGAAAUUUCUGAUUUCUUUAUACAUAUAUUUAUGAACAUAUCCUCUACUGAGUUCAUGUUGUGUUGCUCAGUUGGGUAUGUGUUUAGGACUAACAUUUUGGGGUUGGAUAAUCUAUCACAAACAUCUUCCUUGGAGAUUCUCCCUCUCUUAGCAGGCAUUGGAUAUCUAUAGCCCUUAGUUUAGGCAUGGGGCCUUGUAAAAUUUCUCUUAUCUCUGUUGACAUAUUUACUGGCUUUCUUGGGUCUCAUUUAGGCAAACAUAAUGAUGAAAUUUCAUGAUUACAGCUUCCCUGCCAUGUAUAAAAGACACCAUCUUAUAGUGGAUUCCUUGGUCCUCUGACUCUCAAAAUGCUUCUGCUUCCCCCCUCCAUGAUGGACACUGAGCCUUAGGUGUAGAUGUUGCAUUUUAUAUGGCUGUAGUUAUGUGCUCUCAUAUAUGGGUCUUCUAUUUUCUUUCAUUUAUGUACAUACCUUUUUUGUGUGUGGUGUCAUUCUGUUUUGUUACUAAUGCUCUGUAAUGUAUCUUGAAAUUUGUAAUGGUAUUUUCUUGACCAUUUUAUUUUAGUUAGGAGUACUUUGGCUAUCUGGAGUCUUUUGUGGUUCAAUGUGGGUUUUAGGACUUUUUCCUCUUCUAUGAGGAAUUUUGUAAGGAUUUUGAUUCGUACUACGUUGAAUAUUUUCAUUGCUUUUUGUAGAAAUGUUAUAUUCAUGGUAUUAAUUUUACGAGUCAUGACUAUGGGAGUUUUAUUUUCUAGUGUCCUUUCAAUCUCUUUCUUCAGAGAUUUACAGUUUUAAUAGUGGAGGUCUUUCACCUUGCUUAGGUUUAUUCCUCUUUUAUUUCUUUGAGGCUAAUAUGAGUGGGAGUCUGUACAUGACAUCUUUGUCAGUGAAUUUAUUGUUGGUAUACAGAAAGGCUAUUGCUUUUUAUAAAUUGAUUUUGCAUCCUGUCACUUUGCUGAAAUUCUUUUGUUUAUUGAGUUGUUUACCUGUGUCUUCUUUAAAUUCCUUGAAUUUUGAUGAUAUUUGUGACUGUUCUUUUCAAUUCUGUGUUUGGGGUUCACUACCUAAUUCUCAUUGAAAAAAAUUCCUACACGAUAGGUGAAGUAUGCCAUCAUUAUCUUUCAUAUUGUUUGUACUUUUGCAAUGAGAUCUGAGAAUAUGAAUUUCUUUCAUUACUUUUUGUAUGAUGUGGGCACAGAAUUCUGGGUUGGAGUACAGAAUUAUCAAGCUGACUUGGGUCUGAAGGUUGGAUAUGAUUGAUUGAGAUUUAGAAGCCUGGGAUAUUAUGUAGGAUAUGUUUUCUUACCCAAACUUGCAGAUUGUACAAAAUAUGAGUGACUCUACCAGACUAAACCAGAGAACUACUGUAUGUGGGACCCCAGCUAGAUCUUAGGAUUAAGGAGGAUGCAGACAAUGUCAGAUCAGUCAGACUCACUAGAUUUUGCCCAGAUGCAGGCUGUGUGAGCCAAGAUGGAACUCUUAGACUACAUAGAGAAUAGGACAUACUACAUAGACAUAGGUUGUAAGUACUAGCCCAAAUAAGGAGUUUAGGAGUGAUGUGAGUCAGGCUCACCUGACUAGACCAGGGCACUGUAUGUGGGGCUCAGGAUAGAUCUGAGGAUCAGAAAGGGUACAAGUAGGGCAGGAACAAGUUAACUCAUCAGGCUGGAGCCUAGUACAUCUGUGCAGGACAAACUUGGCCUGGAGGUUUGAUACAGCUGUGCAACAUUAACCUUAAGAGUAACCCCCUCCCCCAAAUGGUAAGACAGACUUUGAUGAGCCCCCAUUAAAGGCCUCACUAUCCUUGGGGAGUGGGUGAGGAGUGUGUUGGUGGGUAGGCCGGGGGCACAGGAGAAUGAGAGGGUGAGGGAAUGGGGUGAUUGAUAUGUAAAAUAAGAUUGUUUCUGAAAUAAAAAAUAUUUUAAUAAAAAAGUCAGUAAGUGGAAACUGGAAGGAUAUCCACAAAUUGGUGGAUGGAUAAAAAGUAUGUAGUAUAUCUUUACAAGGGGUGUUAUUCAAUAAUAAAAGGAAAUGAACAACUGCUAUCUACUACAACAUUAAUGAACAUUGAAAAUCUCAUUUUAAACUAAAUAAAUCAGGCAUAUAAGGCCACAUUGUUAUUCCACUUAGAUGUAAGGUAACAAGUGACAACCAGGCAGAUAGAUAAACAAUAGAAAGUCAUACAUACACAUACACAUGCACAUGUACACACAGACAUACACACACACACACACACACACACACACACACACACACAUACACCUAACCUUGCUCUUUAGUGUUAUCUCAUUAAGUCUCCAAUGCUUAUUAUCAAUUAUCACUGUUCUCCAAUCAUACUAGAUGCCAUGGAGAAUUGAAGGGGUAUAGUGCUACUUCUCUUCUCACAUCCAGUAGAGAAUGCAAGGUUUACACACAGGAUAAUCACUGAGAAACAUAAGCUAACAAACAGCAAAGUAUUAAGUUUUAUAGUAGUAGUGCUAACUGAUAUUGGAGUUUAAUGGGAGGCAAUAUAUGUACUUGGACAAGACUACACAAAGAGUAAAUACAUUAAUUUGCCAAUGUAACAGAUAUUAAGGAAGAAAACAUACUCUUCACAACCAAACAUGAGGAAAUGAUAGGGGAGGAGCAGGGGAAAUGGAGUAAGUCAAAGAAAAGAGAUAGAUAUCAUGGUGCUAGAGAAUACAAGGGAAGUUUGGGACACUUAUACUACAGAGCUGCUUAUUUGGAUGGCUCUAGUCCAGUAAUUUAGAUGGGAACAUUGUACAGACUAGGACAUUGAGGUCCAAAUAGAAAAAAUAGGUUUCUGUGAUGGAAAUCAUAUACAAAAAUAUUUCACAGAAAGGGUUAGCAUGCACUGACAGAUGCUGUAAAGACAUAGAGAAAGAUAAUACAGGAGACAUGUUGAUUUUAGCCUCUAGGAGUUAGGGGGUAAAUUACAAAAAAGGAAGAACAGAAUCUACAGUUUGUGUAGGAAGGUAAGUGGUGAUGAGUAAUAGGUAUAGCUGGCAUCAGUUAAGCAGAUUUCAAUAGUGAGUGAAAUAGCCUCUAUUAAAAUGAAUUAGUUUAUCUCUUUAUCUUUGUGUUUUAUUUCCAAAAUAGGAUUUUACAAAGGGACUGGAUAUUUUUUUACAUAACAUAUAUUCCCCUAAAGUAUAGGAUAUGGAUCAUGAGCUUUGGGAUUUAGCAACAUUCUUUGUAUUCCUACCUCUGUUUAUCUUAACUGCAUAACUGAGCAAGUCCUUUCUUCUUGCAAACAGAGUUUUUCUCAUCUGUCAAAAAAAAGAUUAUGAAAAUACACAAGGGUGGUGAUGGAGAGGAUAUGGAGAUAUAGGAAUAUAAAACUGCAUUGCAUGGUCCCAGGCAUAUAAUAAGGUCAUGAAUUUGUAGUGACUUGUUAAAGAAGAAACUAACGCAACACUCUUAUCCCUCACAAAGACUUGGGAAUCAUUUCAGAAGAAGAGAGAAAUGAAUGCAGGAGCCAGAGGGUAGAGAAGAGAGUAGAGAGAUACUGUGUUCUGGACAUGACAAGACUUGUGGUCUUACCAGUUGUUGACUGCAGAAGACUCAUACAAAAUCAAGAAAACCAGCAUUACAGUACUGAGUGGACAGAGAUCCCCAAAGCCUCAUUCGUAGCUGAAGAGUUACUGACAGUUGAAAGCUGCUUAAGAAGAAUUUUGUUUGGUGGUGUGGCCCCUUGUAGAUUUUUCAUGCUCUGGCGGAUGACUCUGUACCCACAUGAAUCUGGACAACACUAACUAAAUAGUGAGCUAUUAGGAAAUGAAAGAGGCAUCAAGAUAAUAAGUUACAUGUCCUAGUGUAGUAGAAGUGGGAGUUGAGGUUUGAUAUGAUCAAGGUACAAUAUAUACCCCAAAUUAUCAAGAAAUAAGUAACUUGGGGUUAGAAGAACCCCUUGGAAGAGGCGGAGGAAGGAUUGCAGAGGGGUGGAGGACACCAGAAUACAACCCACAGAAUCAACUAAGCAGGGCUCCUAGGUACUCAUAGAAACUGAAGCAGCAAUCAUAGAGCUUGCAUUGGUCUGUGCUAGCUCUUCUGCAUAGAUGUCAUGGUUGUUAGCUUGGGGUUUCAUGGGACACCUAACAAUGAGAGUGUUCAAUGUCUCUUACUCUUUUACCUACUCUUGGA